rnacentral:rRNA from 1 species
GAUGAACGCUGGCGGCGUGCCUAAUACAUGCAAGUCGAGCGAACGGACGAGAAGCUUGCUUCUCUGAUGUUAGCGGCGGACGGGUGAGUAACACGUGGAUAACCGACCUAUAAGACUGGGAUAACUUCGGGAAACCGGAGCUAAUACCGGCUAAUAUUUUGAACCGCAUGGUUCAAAAGUGAAAGACGGUCUUGCUGUCACUUAUCGAUGGAUCCGCGCUGCAUUAGCUAGUUGGUAAGGUAACGGCUUACCAAGGCAACGAUGCAUAGCCGACCUGAGAGGGUGAUCGGCCACACUGGAACUGAGACACGGUCCAGACUCCUACGGGAGGCAGCAGUAGGGAAUCUUCCGCAAUGGGCGAAAGCCUGACGGAGCAACGCCGCGUGAGUGAUGAAGGUCUUCGGAUCGUAAAACUCUGUUAUUAGGGAAGAACAUAUGUGUAAGUAACUGUGCACAUCUUGACGGUACCUAAUCAGAAAGCCACGGCUAACUACGUG